UACGUAGGGUGCAAGCGUUGUCCGGAAUUAUUGGGCGUAAAGAGCUCGUAGGCGGUCUGUCACGUCGGCUGUGAAAACCCGGGGGCUCAACCCCCGGGCCUGCAGUCGAUACGGGCAGACUAGAGUGCGGUAGGGGAGACUGGAAUUCCUGGUGUAGCGGUGAAAUGCGCAGAUAUCAGGAGGAACACCGGUGGCGAAGGCGGGUCUCUGGGCCGUAACUGACGCUGAGGAGCGAAAGCGUGGGGAGCGAACAGG
rnacentral:rRNA from 1 species